GACGAACGCUGGCGGCGUGCUUAACACAUGCCAGUCGAACGGUGAAGGGACCAGCUUGCUGGUUCUGGAUGAGUGGCGAACGGGUGAGUAACACGUGAGUAACCUGCCCCCUUCUUCUGGAUAACCGCAUGAAAGUGUGGCUAAUACGGGAUAUUCUGGGUCUGUCGCAUGGCGGGCCCGGGAAAGAUAUUGCUUCGGUGGGGGAUGGGCUCGCGGCCUAUCAGCUUGUUGGUGGGGUGAUGGCCUACCAAGGCGGUGACGGGUAGCCGGCCUGAGAGGGUGGACGGUCACACUGGGACUGAGACACGGCCCAGGCUCCUACGGGAGGCAGCAGUGGGGAAUAUUGCACAAUGGGCGCAAGCCUGAUGCAGCGACGCCGCGUGAGGGAUGGAGGCCUUCGGGUUGUAAACCUCUUUCGCCAGUGAAGCAGGCCUGCUCCUUGUGGGUGGGUUGACGGUAGCUGGAUAAGAAGCGCCGGCUAACUACGUG
rnacentral:rRNA from 1 species